rnacentral:rRNA from 1 species
GACGAACGCUGGCGGCGUGCCUAAUACAUGCAAGUUGAGCGAUGAAGCUUGGUGCUUGCACCAAUUUGAAGAGCAGCGAACGGGUGAGUAACGCGUGGGGAAUCUGCCUUUGAGCGGGGGACAACAUUUGGAAACGAAUGCUAAUACCGCAUAACAACUUUAAACAUAAGUUUUAAGUUUGAAGGAUGCAAUUGCAUCACUCAAAGAUGAUCCCGCGUUGUAUUAGCUAGUUGGUGAGGUAAAGGCUCACCAAGGCGAUGAUACAUAGCCGACCUGAGAGGGUGAUCGGCCACAUUGGGACUGAGACACGGCCCAAACUCCUACGGGAGGCAGCAGUAGGGAAUCUUCGGCAAUGGACGAAAGUCUGACCGAGCAACGCCGCGGGAGUGAAGAAGGUUUUCGGAUCGUAAAACUCUGUUGGUAGAGAAGAACGUUGGUGAGAGUGGAAAGCUCAUCAAGUGACGGUAACUACCCAGAAAGGGACGGCUAACUACGUG